AUUGAACGCUGGCGGCAUGCCUAACACAUGCAAGUCGAACGGUAACGCGGAGAGCUUGCUCUCUGGCGACGAGUGGCGGACGGGUGAGUAAUACUUAGGAAUCUGCCCAGUAGUGGGGGACAACUCGGGGAAACUCGAGCUAAUACCGCAUACGCCCUACGGGGGAAAGCGGGGGACUCUUCGGAACCUCGCGCUAUUGGAUGAGCCUAAGUCGGAUUAGCUUGUUGGUGAGGUAAAGGCUCACCAAGGCGACGAUCCGUAGCUGGUCUGAGAGGACGAUCAGCCACACUGGGACUGAGACACGGCCCAGACUCCUACGGGAGGCAGCAGUGGGGAAUAUUGGACAAUGGGCGCAAGCCUGAUCCAGCAAUGCCGCGUGUGUGAAGAAGGCCUGCGGGUUGUAAAGCACUUUCAGUAGAGAAGAAAUGCCUAAGGUUAAUAACCUUAAGUCUUGACGUAACCUACAGAAGAAGCACCGGCUAACUCCGUGCCAGCAGCCGCGGUAAUACGGAGGGUGCGAGCGUUAAUCGGAAUUACUGGGCGUAAAGCGCGCGUAGGCGGCUUUGUAAGUCGGAUGUGAAAGCCCUGGGCUCAACCUGGGAAUUGCAUUCGAUACUGCGGAGCUAGAGUAUGGUAGAGGGAAGUGGAAUUUCCGGUGUAGCGGUGAAAUGCGUAGAUAUCGGAAGGAACACCAGUGGCGAAGGCGACUUCCUGGGCCAAUACUGACGCUAAGGUGCGAAAGCGUGGGGAGCAAACAGGAUUAGAUACCCUGGUAGUCCACGCCGUAAACGAUGAGAACUAGAUGUCGGGAGGAAUUGCCUUUCGGUGUCGCAGCUAACGCGUUAAGUUCUCCGCCUGGGGAGUACGCCGGCAACGGUAAAACUCAAAGGAAUUGACGG
rnacentral:rRNA from 1 species